rnacentral:miRNA from 1 species
GAGUGUUGUGUGUGUGUGUGUGUGUGUGUGUGUGUGUGUGUGUGUGUGUAUAUAUAUAUAUAUAUAUACACACACACACACACACACAUAUAUAUAUU